CCCUGGGUGGCUCAGUGGUUGAGCGUCUGCCUUUGACGCAGGGCAUGAUCCCAGGGC
rnacentral:tRNA from 1 species